rnacentral:lncRNA from 1 species
UUUGUGCUCCUUCUCUCCCCUAUCCUGCCCUGCCCCCAUGAGGAAGAGUUGAGACUGGAUGGAGACAGAGGGUGGGGAAGUUUUUCUCAUAAUUUGGAAGCCCAUGAAAAUCUCUAGACCUCCAGGCCUUGGAUGACUGUCCUCACUCCUGUUCCAUGUGGAGAAUCCCAGAAUCUAACCAGCCCCAUGGCCAAGUGAGUAGAAUUUUGUUUGGCUUUCAUUUCAUCUGUAGAGUCAGCUCUGACAAGAUCAGACCAGCGAAGACUCUAAAGCCCCAGGGUGCCUAAAUCUGUGCUUUCAAUUGAGUGCCUCAGGGCCUAGGUAACAGCAGCCCUCCUAGCUGGGUAUUUCUCUGAGUUGAUUUCAGAGCCCUGUCUCUCUGAAAUCAACCUUAUCAAUAUUAUCAAUUCAGAGGUUUUGGUGUUCCUAACUGGCUGUAUGACCUCAGACAAGUCAUUUAACCUCUUUAAAUCUCUGUUUUCUCAUCUGUACAAUAAGAACAAACACAGGACUAUUGUGUGGAUUAAAUAAGAGGACAGCCAAGGUAAUAAAGCAUUUAUCUCAGUGCCUGACACACAAGCAAUGCUCAAUAAAUACUAUAGCCUGUAUCAGUAAGGAUUCUUCUAGUUUAAGUGAUGGAAGCCCAGUCUGGAUCCAGGAGUUUAUCCAAGGUCCUUACUCUGGAAUUUCUUUAAAUUACUUGGCUCUGUAUUUCUCUGAUUUAUUUCGUUCUUGGGCAGACUGUCCUGUAAGAUGGCAGGAGGGAUGAUGAGACAUCCUUCUGGCCAAGCAACCACAGAAAAAUAGAUUCUCAGAGUUUCCUGAAAUCCCUGGAAUGGAGUUUCAUUGGUCUGGUUGGAUCACAUGUCCAGCCAAAGGAUGGAAUGCUCCAGUUGGCCAAGCCUAGGUCCUGUGUCUCUGUAGGCUGAGAGUAAGAGAAGUCAGGUCUUGAAAAGGAAGUGGAGGAGCUGUUUUCAAAAGGAGGAAGAGAUGCUAAGAAGGAAAAAAGAAAAUUAUUUCCACUAUAGAGGCUAUUGUUCUAUUAUUAUAAUUUACUAUUUAUUUUGUACUACUAGUACUGCCACUAUUCCCACUAACUAGUUCCACUACUAUUACACUGUAUAACUAGCACAAAAAUUUGGAAGAUUAUUCAGUGAACAACUGGACUAACAGGCAGGGAAAAGGGAGAAAUCAUAGAAAGCUAUGACAGGAGAAAAAGGAUCCUGCAUAGAAGGAAAUAAAACGAAAGCAGUCUUAACAGUAUGAAAACGAAGUGAAAGCAAAGCCUGAAAUGGUGAGUUCUAGAGGGUUGUUUUAAGCAUUUUUCAAAAACAAAAGUGGGAGUUCCCUGGUGGCCUAGCAGUUAAGGAUCUGGUAUUGUCACUGCUGUGGCAUGGGUUUCAUCCCUGGCUAUGGGUGCCGCAAAGAAAAAAUCCAAAAACAAUCAAACAGGAGAAACCCCAAAGUGAUCUAAAUAACAGCAUGUAAUAUAUUUUGUAGUUGCUAAACUGAAAGCACUUCACUGUGGUUGUUUAUAUAAUGCUUUAAUGGCCACACAAAGCAUGCAUGUUGUAUGCUUUAAGCACUGUACACCUGUAGUUUCAGCACCAGCAUGGGUAUUUAUGAAGCAGGCCAACAACAUUCCCUACACUGGAAGGCUGUGUCCACAACACCUUGUUGCAGACACAGUCAGAGAUGCAUUUUUUCACAUAGGAAACACAUGUGUGAUGUGGGGAAUAGGUAUGAGAUAUGUGUAACGAAUUUCUGGCAGGAAGUGCAGGGGCUGCAACUUCAAAUGAAACAUUGUAUAUAUAGCAUUUGGCAAUACUACAGUAUCCUUGAAUGAAUGGCUUACUGAAGGAUUAGUAAUGUAUACCAGUAUAUAAAUAUACAGAGAAUGAUACUGGUGAAAGCUGCAACCCUGAACUUGAAUUUGAAUCUAUCUACAUUUUCCAUACAACAUAUGCUGUCAACAGAAUGAUCGCUACUAAGUUGUGCUGCACAGAGCCCUGGAAGGAUUUUGCACAUUGCCUGUUUUUAUAGACUAAAAUUAUGUUCUCAGAAAUUAAUUUUUGUCUUAAACAUUAAUAAAAUGUUAAAACUAAUAUGUAUAUGAUGUGCUUAAAGCCAAGCCUCUGCAUCAAGAACAACUGUACAACUGCAGCUGAAGCUGGUUAUUUGGGCCACCUGGGAUGCCUCACCUGAGGAGCAGCCAGAUCACAUUGGCUGAUGCCCAUCUGAGUAUAAGAAGUAGGCUGGCUGGUCCAAGUAAUCCUUCAGUUCAAAGUAGGUAGAAUAUAUGUUUUCUGUUUGUUUUGGUUUUUCAAAAAGACUAUGAAAUGGUUAGACCACAUGGUUUUGUGUAACAGUUUUUAUGAGAGCAAAACACAUAUCUAAGGUGAACACUUCAGACAGCCUUGUUGAGUAUUUUCUUAAUGAUACAGUAAUGUUCGGGAGAAACUAGUCAAGUAGUAUUUUGAAGUCUGAUAGCCUCACCAAACAGAAAAGAAUAAUAUAACUUCAUAUUUCUAGAUUUUAUUACACUUUCCAGACCACUUGAAAUGUAGUAAUUCUCUCAACCACCCCACUGGCAGGUACAGCUGACACCUAAUUCAGUGACCAUUCCACUCCUGCACACUCUUUUCCAUAAUAACACAAACAGAAUGGGAACAUUCUUCACCAGUGUUGAGAAAAGAGUCAUUUGGUUUUCUAAGGCUUUUUUUCCCCCCUUGAAUAUUUUGAAGGGUGGUGUAGACCAGAUUAAAAAACAUGGCUCAGAGAAGCAAGAAUUCAUUCCCCCAAGUGUUUAUUAAGUGAAUCACAAAUUCAUUCAGCAUGACUGCUAACCCAGAAAAAUUAAGGCAAAAUGGUAACAAGCUGUGAGCCUCUAAGUAUCUUCAAUUUUAGGAUCUCCCUGGGAAAGGGUCACAAGUGUAAUCCUUUUCAGCUGUCCUUGCCUUGCUUCCGCUGUCAGUGGAAAUAUCCAGGCAGGAUGAAUACACUUUCUGACUAGACUCUGGACUGACCUAGACAGUUUUUUUGGAAAUUCAGGAUUUACUUUUCCUAAAGCCUCUUAAUUUCUCCCAUCCCUCCCUAAUUGAAAACAUCAUCUCUCCCAUUACAGCAUGUGGAAAGUGAGGGGAGGGAGAAGCAGACGGUAUCUGAAUUCAAGAUAAAAAUUACUUUGUGAGUUUAUUAUUCCCAUCCAUAACAGAUGACAAUUUUCAUGUCAUUUAGCUGAUUCUAGAACAGAAUCACCCAGAGAGAUAUUAAGUACUAUUUUUCAUACUAUUUAUCUUGAAAGCCCCAAUGAGACAUGUACACCUACAUUUAAUGACUGAUGAUCCAUAGCAUGCAUAUUUCCUGGAAAUGUUUGGAUAUUUUGUCACGUGCAGCUAGUCAUUAUUUCAUUGGCCAUACAUGAAUUACGAUCCUUCGCAUAUAUUGUGGUGGGUUCCAAAAACUUAGACUUCCUCCAGUGUCUGAGAACUGUCUGGAGAUCUUGGUUCUAAAGAAAUUUGUGGAUUUGUAGUUUCUGAAGUAACUCUAUUCCUCAUUUGUUGGGCGACAGUUAACUUUCACACCAUAGCUCUCUCAUCAGCUCUAAAAUAGGCUCAGCCCUCUCUAAUUUGGAACUCUUUUUGAAACUCUAAGAUGAUGUGUCAUUUCAAGUGCAAAACAGCAAAAAUGUUAUGGAUAUGAGUGGAUGCUAAGGUCCCAAAGACUUUCAAUAGGCUAUAGCUCCCUAGUUGCUGACAUCAGCAGUGUGGUUCUUAUUAAAUAGCUGGGUUUCAGACUGUGACCCUUUCAAGCAGCAUUUCUACUUUAUAUAAAGAACCUGGAUUCAGUGCAGUUUAUGCUGAGUUAAUGGACAAGAUUUGGAAUGAAUCUUUCUCUCUGCCAUUUGUACAAAUUCGUGAGAUGCCUCUGGUCCACUAGCCCAUUUCCAGGGACUGAGCUAAAGUUCAAGAAUCUGACUCUGUCAUUCAUCAGAACUGAAAUUGUCUUUCAGUGGUUAAUACACCCAGUUAGCUCCACAUUUAUUCAGGAAGAUAAAUUAGAACUUUCUAAGGCAAUAGCUAAAGGAAAUCACAAGCAUCACUAAUGACAAAAAGAGCAUUUAGGUAGAAACAAAGCAGUCUACCCAGCAACAACUUGCUUUCGGUAUGAACUUUUUAGAGAAUGCAUCAUUAUUUGGAUGGGGAAAGAUACAGCCUAAAUAGUUCAUUUACUAAUAAAGUCCCCUUGAAAAUUGCCUCUGUUUAGAAAAUACUAAUCCAACUAAGUCAUGCUCUUGGUUAAAUUAUUUAUAGGCCCCAUCUCCCAUAACCUUCACAAUAGUGCUGUGAGGUAGGUACUCUUACUGGUCCAUAUUACAAAUGAUGAGAUGAGGAUGUAGAGAAGUUAAAUAACUUGCCCACCAUCACACAGAAAGUAAGUGGCAGAGGUGGGAUGUGAAAACAAUGCUGAUUGAUUUUAAAUGCUCUUAACCAUUCUGUUACACUGUCUUGAUGGUUGGACAAACCCCCUGUCUCCAUGGCUAAAACUAAAAAAGAAGUAGUAGUUGUGAUAGAAUAUUUCACUUUUCACUCAGUGUGUCAUCUGUGGCUACCCUUUCCUCCUCCUGGACUCCUACUUGCCAGUCUUCUAAUAGCAUUCAAAUUUUUAUUUGGCAAAUCUCCUUGUGCAUUUAUUCUCUUUUUCUUUGCAUUUGCAUGAUGCAUAUUUCAUAUCAGCCAUGAAAUGUCCAAGAGAGAUCUCUGCAUGGCAAAGUUGGAAGGAGCCUUUGCACUUUGGUUUGUUUGUGAUCUUGACACAUACUGCAAGUCCUAAUGGGGCCUCCUGCCAUGUAGAAGUCACCAGUUUGCCAACCCCAAGAUUUCUUGGCCCUCUAGAAGCAUAUUUCUUAUUUCCUCACAAGAGCAAAUUAAGGCUUCAAAGCAGAAUCCAAUUUUGUGAUUUUUAUGCCUUUUAGGAUGAUGGUAAACAAUUUUUACUCUUUGAAAAAUGUGUAAAAUAAGAUAUUGUAUUUUGAUGGAGUAUUGAUGGAGUUCCCGUCAUGGCUUAUGUUAACGAAACCGACUAGGAACCAUGAGGUUGUGGGUUUGAUCCCUGUCUUGCUCAGUGGGUUAAGGAUCCAGCAUUGCCGUGAGCUGUGGUGUAGGUCGCAGACGCGGCUCCGAUCCCGAGUUGCUGUGGCUCUGGCGUAGGCCGGCGGCUACAGCUCCAAUUAGAUGCCUAGCCUGGGAAUCUCCAAAUGCCGCAGGUGCGGCCCUGGGAAAGGCAAAAAGACAAAAAAAAAAAGAAAAAAAAAAAAAAA